rnacentral:rRNA from 1 species
GGUGAGAGUGUUUGAGGAGGGAUCUGCGGCCCAUCAGCUAGUUGGUGAGGUAACGGCUCACCAAGGCGAAGACGGGUAGGGGGUGUGAGAGCAUGGCCCCCCACAAUGGGACUGAGACACGGCCCAUACUCCUACGGGAGGCAGCAGCGGGGAAUAUUGCGCAAUGGACGGAAGUCAGACGCAGCGACGCCGCGUGGGUGAGGAAGGCCUUCGGGUUGUAAAGCCCUUUUCAGGGGAGCGAGAAAGGACGGUACCCUUGGAAUAAGCGUCGGCUAACUACGUGCCAGCAGCCGCGGUAAGACGUAGGACGCAAGCGUUAUCCGGAUUUACUGGGCGUAAAGCGCCUGUAGGCGGUCAAGUAAGUCGGAUGUGAAAGCCCCGUGCUCAACGCGGGGAAGCCAUUCGAUACUGCGUGACUAGAGAACGGCAGGGGGAAACGGAGUUUCUGGUGUAGCGGUAAAAUGCGCAGAGAUCAGAAAGAACACCGAUGGCGAAGGCAGUUUCCUAGGCCGCAUCUGACGCUGAGAGGCGAAAAGCUAGGGGAGCACACAGGAUUAGAGACCCUGGUAGUCCGAGCGGUAGACGAUGGAUGCUAGGUGUGGGCCGGAAAGGUCCGUGCCGUAGUUUACGCGAUAAGCAUCCCGCCUGGGGAGUACGGCCGCAAGGCUUAGACUCAGACGAAUUGACGGGGACCCGCACAAGCAGCGGAGCGUGUGGUUUUAUUCGAUGCUACACGCAGAACCUUACCUGGGCUUGACAUGUAGGUGGUAGUGAAGUGAAAGCGGAGCGACCCUUCGGGGAGCCUACACAGGUGCUGCAUGGCUGUCGUCAGCUCGUGCCGUGAGGUGUCGGGUUAAGUCCCGUGACGAGCGCAACCCUUGUC